rnacentral:rRNA from 1 species
UACGUAGGGUCCGAGCGUUGUCCGGAAUUACUGGGCGUAAAGAGCUCGUAGGUGGUUUGUCGCGUUGUUCGUGAAAACUCACAGCUUAACUGUGGGCGUGCGGGCGAUACGGGCAGACUGGAGUACUGCAGGGGAGACUGGAAUUCCUGGUGUAGCGGUGGAAUGCGCAGAUAUCAGGAGGAACACCGGUGGCGAAGGCGGGUCUCUGGGCAGUAACUGACGC